UGAGUAACACGUGGGCAAUCUGCCCUGCACUUCGGGAUAAGCCUGGGAAACUGGGUCUAAUACCGGAUAGGACCUUUAGGCGCAUGCCUUUUGGUGGAAAGCUUUUGCGGUGUGGGAUGGGCCCGCGGCCUAUCAGCUUGUUGGUGGGGUGAUGGCCUACCAAGGCGACGACGGGUAGCCGGCCUGAGAGGGUGUCCGGCCACACUGGGACUGAGAUACGGCCCAGACUCCUACGGGAGGCAGCAGUGGGGAAUAUUGCACAAUGGGCGCAAGCCUGAUGCAGCGACGCCGCGUGGGGGAUGACGGCCUUCGGGUUGUAAACCUCUUUCACCAUCGACGAAGGUCCGGGUUUUCUCGGAUUGACGGUAGGUGGAGAAGAAGCACCGGCCAACUACGUGCCAGCAGCCGCGGUAAUACGUAGGGUGCGAGCGUUGUCCGGAAUUACUGGGCGUAAAGAGCUCGUAGGUGGUUUGUCGCGUUGUUCGUGAAAUCUCACGGCUUAACUGUGAGCGUGCGGGCGAUACGGGCAGACUAGAGUACUGCAGGGGAGACUGGAAUUCCUGGUGUAGCGGUGGAAUGCGCAGAUAUCAGGAGGAACACCGGUGGCGAAGGCGGGUCUCUGGGCAGUAACUGACGCUGAGGAGCGAAAGCGUGGGGAGCGAACAGGAUUAGAUACCCUGGUAGUCCACGCCGUAAACGGUGGGUACUAGGUGUGGGUUUCCUUCCUUGGGAUCCGUGCCGUAGCUAACGCAUUAAGUACCCCGCCCNGGGGAGUACGGCCGCAAGGCUAAAACUCAAAGGAAUUGACGGGGGCCCGCACAA
rnacentral:rRNA from 1 species